rnacentral:rRNA from 1 species
UGGGGAAUAUUGCACAAUGGGGGGAACCCUGAUGCAGCCAUGCCGCGUGAAUGAAGAAGGCCUUCGGGUUGUAAAGUCCUUUCGGUGACGAGGAAGGUUGAUAGGUUAAUAGCCUAUCAAAUUGACGUUAAUCACAGAAGAAGCACCGGCUAACUCCGUGCCAGCAGCCGCGGUAAUACGGGGGGUGCGAGCGUUAAUCGGAAUAACUGGGCGUAAAGGGCACGCAGGCGGUGACUUAAGUGAGAUGUGAAAGCCCCGAGCUUAACUUGGGAAUUGCAUUUCAUACUGGGUCGCUAGAGUACUUUAGGGAGGGGUAGAAUUCCACGUGUAGCGGUGAAAUGCGUAGAGAUGUGGAGGAAUACCGAAGGCGAAGGCAGCCCCUUGGGAAUGUACUGACGCUCAUGUGCGAAAGCGUGGGGAGCAAACAGGAUUAGAUACCCUGGUAGUCCACGCUGUAAACGAUGUCGAUUUGGGGAUUGGGCUUUAAGCUUGGUGCCCGUAGCUAACGUGAUAAAUCGACCGCCUGGGGAGUACGGCCGCAAGGUUA